UACGUAGGGUGCGAGCGUUAAUCGGAAUUACUGGGCGUAAAGCGUGCGCAGGCGGUUUUGUAAGCCAGAUGUGAAAUCCCCGGGCUUAACCUGGGAAUGGCAUUUGGGACUGCAAGGCUUGAGUGCGGCAGAGGAGACUGGAAUUCCUGGUGUAGCAGUGAAAUGCGUAGAUAUUAGGAAGAACACCGAUAGCGAAAGCACUCUGCUGGGCCUGAACUGACACUGAGAGACGAAAGCUAGGGGAGCAAAAAGG
rnacentral:rRNA from 1 species